rnacentral:rRNA from 1 species
CAGCAGUAGCCGCGGUAAUACGGAGGGUGCAAGCGUUAAUCGGAAUUACUGGGCGUAAAGUGCACGCAGGCGGUCUGUCAAGUCAGAUGUGAAAUCCCCGGGCUUAACCUGGGAACUGCAUUUGAAACUGGCAGGCUAGAGUCUUGUAGAGGGGGGUAGAAUUCCAGGUGUAGCGGUGAAAUGCGUAGAGAUCUGGAGGAAUACCGGUGGCGAAGGCGGCCCCCUGGACAAAGACUGACGCUCAGGUGCGAAAGCGUGGGGAGCAAACAGGAUUAGAUACCCGCGUAGUCCCUGUCUCUUAUAC